CAGCCGCGGUAAUUCCAGCUCCAAUAGUGUAUAUUAAAGUUGCUGUGAUUAAAACGCUCGUAGUUGAAUUAAAAUGUGAUUUUAUACAUUUUGAAGACUUUGCAUAAGUAAAGUUUCUAGAAAUGUUAAAUUAAAAUCAAAGAAGGAAACAAUUCAAGUAAUUGAGUUGUUAUUACUUUGAAUAAAAUAAGGUGUUUAAAGCAAAACAUUAUGUUAAUGAAUAUUCAAGCAUGGGACAAUGCUGAGGGGAUGUCAAUAAGACAUUUCGAGAGAAGGAUUAAAAGGAACAAUUGGGGUGAUUCAGAAAAUAACGGGAGAGGUGAAAAUCCAUGAUCGCUAUAAGAUGCACGAGAGCGAAAGCAUUUCACUCAACUGUGUCCAUUAAUCAAGAACGAAAGUUAGGGGAUCGAAGACGAUCAGAUACCGUCGUAGUCCUAACUAUAAACGA
rnacentral:rRNA from 1 species